GUAGGUGGCAAGCGUUGUCCGGAAUUAUUGGGCGUAAAGCGCGCGCAGGCGGUCCUUUAAGUCUGAUGUGAAAGCCCACGGGCUCAACCGUGGAGGGUCAUUGGAAACUGGGGGACUUGAGUACAGAAGAGGAAAGCGGAAUUCCAAGUGUAGCGGUGAAAUGCGUAGAGAUUUGGAGGAACACCAGUGGCGAAGGCGGCUUUCUGGUCUGUAACCGACGCUGAGGCGCGAAAGCGUGGGGAGCAAACAGGAUUAGAUACCCUGGUAGUCCACGCCGUAAACGAUGAGUGCUGAGUGUUAGGGGGUUUCCGCCCCUUAGUGCUGCAGCUAACGCAUUAAGCACUCCGCCUGGGGAGUACGGCCGCAAAGGCUG
rnacentral:rRNA from 1 species